CCUGAGAAGCCUUUUCGGAGACAAAAGAGCCGGCUCUUGUUAGUGAGCCGAGCCGAAAGAGCCAGUUCUCUAAAAAGAGCCGGAAGUCCCAUCACUAGUUGUGUAAUAUGCUGGUAUUGAUAUGAUCAAAAAUGAACUGAGUUGUUUCCUAUUCUAUAGAAAUUGUACAUCUAAUUAAUAACAAGGCUUUCUGCUGAUGUUACUAAUUAAAAAUGUAUUGUUUUAUUUUUAAGCAGCAACUUUUUAGCAUGCAAUCAGUCCAUGCUGUACAGGACAGAUUUGUAAACUGUGCAUACAAAAAUAGACAAUUUCACAAAAUUGCUCAUUCAACAAAUGUAAAUCACAGCAGAUUUUUGUUGUUGUAGGUGCACUGUCACAACUAGAAAUGUGGGGGGAACUUCUCAAAAUUGAAGGCAGAACAGGAAAAUACAUGGAAAUAACAAUUUUUCUUUAAGCACAUCAGUAAAGGUCGAUCCGGAUACUUGAUAACUGUUGGUGUAGGUAUGACAUGAAUUUGAAUCUCCAUUAUCACAGGUUUUAAUUGGGAGGCAACAUGCAGAUAUACAUAAGGAGGACUAUAAACAGCGAUUCCUAUUGCAUACAACUGUUUUAGAAAAUACCAACAACACUGUUAAUUUAUCGCUUGCUGGUCUAUAGACUUUACAGUGUGGAUGGAUGGAAAAUCCAUCUGGCUCCACUCUUGCUGAAUUGGUGCUACAAACAACUCUGCGCUCGGCUUUCCUGGCUGUGUGUGGAUUUAUACUUACAAAUUUUGACCCUAUUUUUCUUCCUUUCAGCUGAUUGGUCAAUUUCAUGUCAAUCACCAAUUAAACAAUGCAAUCAGAGAACAUCUCCAAAAGUUGAUUCUGUUCAUCUGGACGAAGCGUUUUCAGUGGGAGAAAAUGCUAAAAAGCUACGUCCAGAUGAACAGAAUCAACUUCUGCAGAUUUACUUACCUGGAUGAUUGAGCAUGCAUCAAGACAAUCAGAGAACAGAUAGGUUUGGCUGUUGGAGGGCUGCUUUACGGAGCUUCAGGUCCUGGAAGAAUAAAUUCCUUUUUACAUACCAGACCAGCAUUUUUCUUCAUUACCACGAAGGAAAACAGUCUGUGCGUGUCCGAGUUCAGUGGUUUUUGUGUCACAGGGCUUAUAAUAUGUGUAAAAAUCUGGCCAGGGACCAUCACAUCACACUGCUAUCAUAUUUUUCUGUUACUAUCAUGUUUCUUUUCUGAGAUGUUGUUACUUUUAUGACAGAUGUAACGAGAAAUCUUCCUGAAAGUAAAAUGUUUUAUUCUAAUCAAAUAUUUGAUUCUGAUAACAGAUAAAGAUUUUUUUUUACUUUUGUUCCGCUAUGAUAGUUUAUACAAAUUUUGGCCAAUUCCUAUUUAUUUUAAUAGGCUUUAGCCCCCAAAAAGUCGCCAGCGACAGGUUUUUCCAGACCUGUCUCGUCAAACCUGAGCUACCAGGGGUCCAACACGCCUGGACUUUUAGAAGAAAAGAGAUGUCCGAAAAUAAACCACAGGGUCAAAUACUUGAUUUUGUUCAGUGUUUUAGAGUUAUCAAUUCGAAUUGACUAAUUUAAAUAAUUUAGUCAUCUACAUUUUGAUUGCCUUUUUCAGUAAAACCAGCAAAAUUUCAAUUUCUUUUUUUUUCUGUCAUUAAUCCUUGAUUACACUCAUAUAGUAUACAGUAGAGGAAAAAACCUACCAGAUGUGUAAAGUAGUAGUAAUACUGAAAAAAGGGACAAAAGCACACACGCUCACAGCUGAUUUUAUGACACUUUUACAGCUAAAACAAUAUAUAAUUCCGGUUAUCCUGCGUAACAUUAUUGGGGAUAAAGGGUUAAGGACCCGCAAUUAAUUUUUUUAGUUUAGCUUGUGUUUACUACCAUUUUUUUUUUAUCACCACACAGUAAACAUUAAGUAAUAUGUAACGUGUCUAUUUAUCCUCCAUGCCUGGUCCAUUAUCUUAAGCUUAGGCUGCUGCCCCUCAACCCAAUCCGGUACUAAGUAGAGAGGCCCAGAGUUCGCUCUCUCCAGGCACUUGGUCCAUCCUCCGGGGGAAUCCCAAGGCAUUCCCAGGCCAGCUGAAAAACAUAGUCCCUCCAGCAUGUCCUGGGUGUUCUGGGUCUCUUGUUCUCCUGGGAGAACAAGUGUAGACGAUGCCACAUGAAGGAUGAUGAAAUUCCUCAUAUCACCUGAGCUGGCUGUGGAGUACAACAUGCUUGGCCGACAUGGGAAAAAAAAGUUCAGAGAUUUGCGUCUUUUUAAUGUUGUGUAUGAGACACUGAAGAAGAAUUAUUUAACAUCAAAAGUCAACUUGCAAGAAGCAGAGAAGGCUCUGUCCAAGUGGUUCACUGGAGCUAAAGACAGAGGAGGACUGAGGGCUGCAAGGGUACAAAAUAGACUUACGGCUCUGUAAAAAAACAAAAAAAGAAACCCUGCUGAUUCAAGAUAAACUUUUGAGUUUUCCAUCUGACUUUUUCCCCAUGUUGCUACAGUUCCAAAUAUCUAAGGAAUUUUGCUGUAGUUUGACAUUUCUAGUUUUUUAAAAGUUUACACACUUUGGUAUACAGUUACGUAAAAUCACAGUUGUUGGACAAAAUAAAUGUGAAAAAUGUU